rnacentral:rRNA from 1 species
AGCGAACGCUGGCGGCAGGCCUAACACAUGCAAGUCGAACGAACUCUUCGGAGUUAGUGGCGGACGGGGGAGUAACACGUGGGAACGUGCCUUUUGGUUCGGAAUCACUCAGGGAAACUUGUGCUAAUACCGCAUGUGCCCUUCGGGGGAAAGAUUUAUCGCCAUUGGAGCGGCCCGCGUCUGAUUAGCUAGUUGGGGAGGUAACGGCUCACCAAGGCGACGAUCAGUAGCUGGUCUGAGAGGAUGACCAGCCACACUGGGACUGAGACACGGCCCAGACUCCUACGGGAGGCAGCAGUGGGGAAUCUUGCGCAAUGGGCGAAAGCCUGACGCAGCCAUGCCGCGUGAAUGAUGAAGGUCUUAGGAUUGUAAAAUUCUUUCACCGGGGACGAUAAUGACGGUACCCGGAGAAGAAGCCCCGGCUAACUUCGUG